rnacentral:rRNA from 1 species
GAAUAUUGCACAAUGGGGGAAACCCUGAUGCAGCCAUGCCGCGUGUGUGAAGAAGGCCUUCGGGUUGUAAAGCACUUUCAGUGGUGAGGAAGGUUGGUAGUUUAAUACGCUACCAAAUUGACAUUAGCCACAGAAGAAGCACCGGCUAACUCCGUGCCAGCCGCCGCGGUAAUCCGGCGGGUGCGAGCGUUAAUCGGAAUUACUGGGCGUAAAGCGCGCGUAGGCGGCGUGAUAAGCCGGUUGUGAAAGCCCCGGGCUCAACCUGGGAACGGCAUCCGGAACUGUCAGGCUAGAGUGCAGGAGAGGAAGGUAGAAUUCCCGGUGUAGCGGUGAAAUGCGUAGAGAUCGGGAGGAAUACCAGUGGCGAAGGCGGCCUUCUGGACUGACACUGACGCUGAGGUGCGAAAGCGUGGGUAGCAAACAGG